rnacentral:rRNA from 1 species
AGCGGCAAACGGGUGAGUAACACAUGGGAAACCUCCCUCAGAAUGGGGAACAUCUCCGAGAAAUCGGAGCUAAUACCGCAUAAGACCACAGUUCGGCAUCGAACAGGGGUAAAAGCAGCAAUGCGUUUUGAGAUGGUCCUGUGUCCUAUCAGCUAGUUGGUGGGGUAACGGCCUACCAAGGCUAUGACGGGUAUCCGGCCUGAAAGGGUGAACGGACACACUGGAACUGAGACACGGUCCAGACUCCUACGGGAGGCAGCAGUGGGGAAUUUUGGACAAUGGGCGCAAGCCUGAUCCAGCGACGCCGCGUGGAGGACGAAGGCCUUCGGGUUGUAAACUCCUUUUGGAGGGGAAGAAUAAAUUGACGGUACCCUCAGAAAAAGCCACGGCUAACUACGUGCCAGCAGCCGCGGUAAUACGUAGGUGGCGAGCGUUACUCGGAAUUACUAGGCGUAAAGCGUAUGUAGGUGGUUAGAUAAGUCUAUGGUGAAAUUUCCUGGCUUAACUGGGAAGGGACAUAGAUACUAUCUGGCUUGAGUGUGGGAGGGGGAGACGGAAUUCCUGGUGUAGCGGUGAAAUGCGUAGAUAUCAGGAGGAACACCGAUGGCGAAAGCAGUCUCCUGGCCCAAUACUGACACUGAGGUACGAAAGCUAGGGUAGCAAACAGGAUUAGAUACCCUGGUAGUCCUAGCU